AUGCCAAGUGGAAAGGCCACCUCAUUCCAUGACAAUCAAAGUCUGGAAUGAAAGCAGUGAAGUAGGCAGCUGCCCUUUCCUAUGUUCUGUUUUCACUGCAAUUGCUGCUGAGAUAAUCAGAUGUUUGUUCCAAGUGAUAAUUUCUUGUUUGUUUACCCUGGCCAUUGGAUACCCAAGCUAGGCUGUGGUUGGCAAGAUGAGAAUUCAGCAGGGUAACUGGUGACAUCUGAGAGUGAGAAGGCAAAUCUGGCACAAAGAGCUGUAGUCACAGCCAGCAAAGAGCAGCAGCCACCAGGUUCCAGAUGAUACCAUGAUGCCAACCUGACUUCCCUAGUCAGAAGACCCCACCUUGUGUCUUGGAGUCCCGCCUCUCCAGAUCUCACUAGGGAAAGAGAGAGACAGGCUAGAAGUAUGGAUCAAUCUGCCAAUGCCCAUGUUGAGAAGUAAUUACAGAAGCCAGAGCUUCUACCUUCUGCACCCCAUAAUUACCCUGGUUCCAUACUCCCAGCGGGAUAAAGAAUAGGAAAACUAUCAAGGUAAAAAGUAAGAAACAGUAAGAGGUAGACAAGGAGAGGGACCAAGAGAAGGAGAAACAUCAGCAGCUUUGCUGCAAAGCUUGUGAAGCUGCCACCCUCACAGAUGGGCACAGGAGAUCUGAACUCACGUCUUCACACAUGGUGAUGUGUAUGCCACCAAUUGACCUCCUUCUGGAGCAGAUUUUAUCCUAACAAAACAUAUAGAUAUAAACUGGUAUUCUUUGAUCUCAAAAUAAUUUUUUUCAUAGCAUCUAGAAGUAUAUAAU